UACAGAGGGUGCGAGCGUUGUCCGGAAUCACUGGGCGUAACGGGCGCGUAGGUGGCGCCGCAAGUCCAUGGUGAAAGCUCGAUGCUCAACAUCGAGUCGGCCACGGAGACUGCGGGGCUCGAGCACUGUAGGGGCAGAUGGAAUUCCGGGUGUAGCGGUGGAAUGCGUAGAGAUCCGGAAGAACACCGAUGGCGAAGGCGGGUCUCUGGGCAACAACUGACGCUGAGGAGCGAAAGCGUGGGGAGCGAACAGG
rnacentral:rRNA from 1 species